GGUCAAGUGAAGAAGCGCAUACGGUGGAUGCCUUGGCAGUCAGAGGCGAUGAAAGACGUGGUAGCCUGCGAAAAGCUUCGGGGAGUCGGCAAACAGACUUUGAUCCGGAGAUCUCUGAAUGGGGGAACCCACCUAGGAUAACCUAGGUAUCUUGUACUGAAUCCAUAGGUGCAAGAGGCGAACCAGGGGAACUGAAACAUCUAAGUACCCUGAGGAAAAGAAAUCAACCGAGAUUCCCUUAGUAGUGGCGAGCGAACGGGGAUUAGCCCUUAAGCUUCAUUGAUUUUAGCGGAACGCUCUGGAAAGUGCGGCCAUAGUGGGUGAUAGCCCCGUACGCGAAAGGAUCUUUGAAGUGAAAUCGAGUAGGACGGAGCACGAGAAACUUUGUCUGAACAUGGGGGGACCAUCCUCCAAGGCUAAAUACUACUGACUGACCGAUAGUGAACCAGUACCGUGAGGGAAAGGCGAAAAGAACCCCGGAGAGGGGAGUGAAAUAGAACCUGAAACCGUAUGCGUACAAGCAGUGGGAGCCUACUUGUUAGGUGACUGCGUACCUUUUGUAUAAUGGGUCAGCGACUUAUAUUCAGUGGCAAGCUUAACCGUAUAGGGUAGGCGUAGCGAAAGCGAGUCUUAAUAGGGCGUUUAGUCGCUGGGUAUAGACCCGAAACCGGGCGAUCUAUCCAUGAGCAGGUUGAAGGUUAGGUAACACUGACUGGAGGACCGAACCCACUCCCGUUGAAAAGGUAGGGGAUGACUUGUGGAUCGGAGUGAAAGGCUAAUCAAGCUCGGAGAUAGCUGGUUCUCCUCGAAAGCUAUUUAGGUAGCGCCUCAUGUAUCACUCUGGGGGGUAGAGCACUGUUUCGGCUAGGGGGUCAUCCCGACUUACCAAACCGAUGCAAACUCCGAAUACCCAGAAGUGCCGAGCAUGGGAGACACACGGCGGGUGCUAACGUCCGUCGUGAAAAGGGAAACAACCCAGACCGCCAGCUAAGGUCCCAAAGUUGUGGUUAAGUGGUAAACGAUGUGGGAAGGCUUAGACAGCUAGGAGGUUGGCUUAGAAGCAGCCACCCUUUAAAGAAAGCGUAAUAGCUCACUAGUCGAGUCGGCCUGCGCGGAAGAUGUAACGGGGCUCAAACCACACACCGAAGCUGCGGGUGUCACGUAAGUGACGCGGUAGAGGAGCGUUCUGUAAGCCUGUGAAGGUGAGUUGAGAAGCUUGCUGGAGGUAUCAGAAGUGCGAAUGCUGACAUGAGUAACGACAAUGGGUGUGAAAAACACCCACGCCGAAAGACCAAGGGUUCCUGCGCAACGUUAAUCGACGCAGGGUUAGUCGGUUCCUAAGGCGAGGCUGAAAAGCGUAGUCGAUGGGAAACAGGUUAAUAUUCCUGUACUUCUGGUUACUGCGAUGGAGGGACGGAGAAGGCUAGGCCAGCUUGGCGUUGGUUGUCCAAGUUUAAGGUGGUAGGCUGAAAUCUUAGGUAAAUCCGGGGUUUCAAGGCCGAGAGCUGAUGACGAGUCGUCUUUUAGAUGACGAAGUGGUUGAUGCCAUGCUUCCAAGAAAAGCUUCUAAGCUUCAGGUAACCAGGAACCGUACCCCAAACCGACACAGGUGGUCGGGUAGAGAAUACCAAGGCGCUUGAGAGAACUCGGGUGAAGGAACUAGGCAAAAUGGCACCGUAACUUCGGGAGAAGGUGCGCCGGCUAGGGUGAAGGAUUUACUCCGUAAGCUCUGGCUGGUCGAAGAUACCAGGCCGCUGCGACUGUUUAUUAAAAACACAGCACUCUGCAAACACGAAAGUGGACGUAUAGGGUGUGACGCCUGCCCGGUGCCGGAAGGUUAAUUGAUGGGGUUAGCGCAAGCGAAGCUCUUGAUCGAAGCCCCGGUAAACGGCGGCCGUAACUAUAACGGUCCUAAGGUAGCGAAAUUCCUUGUCGGGUAAGUUCCGACCUGCACGAAUGGCGUAACGAUGGCGGCGCUGUCUCCACCCGAGACUCAGUGAAAUUGAAAUCGCUGUGAAGAUGCAGUGUAUCCGCGGCUAGACGGAAAGACCCCGUGAACCUUUACUGUAGCUUUGCACUGGACUUUGAGCCUGCUUGUGUAGGAUAGGUGGGAGGCUUUGAAGCGUGGACGCCAGUUCGCGUGGAGCCAUCCUUGAAAUACCACCCUGGCAUGCUUGAGGUUCUAACUCUGGUCCGUAAUCCGGAUCGAGGACAGUGUAUGGUGGGCAGUUUGACUGGGGCGGUCUCCUCCUAAAGAGUAACGGAGGAGUACGAAGGUGCGCUCAGACCGGUCGGAAAUCGGUCGUAGAGUAUAAAGGCAAAAGCGCGCUUGACUGCGAGACAGACACGUCGAGCAGGUACGAAAGUAGGUCUUAGUGAUCCGGUGGUUCUGUAUGGAAGGGCCAUCGCUCAACGGAUAAAAGGUACUCCGGGGAUAACAGGCUGAUACCGCCCAAGAGUUCAUAUACGACGGCGGUGUUUGGCACCUCGAUGUCGGCUCAUCACAUCCUGGGGCUGAAGCCGGUCCCAAGGGUAUGGCUGUUCGCCAUUUAAAGUGGUACGCGAGCUGGGUUUAGAACGUCGUGAGACAGUUCGGUCCCUAUCUGCCGUGGACGUUUGAGAUUUGAGAGGGGCUGCUCCUAGUACGAGAGGACCGGAGUGGACGAACCUCUGGUGUUCCGGUUGUCACGCCAGUGGCAUUGCCGGGUAGCUAUGUUCGGAAAAGAUAACCGCUGAAAGCAUCUAAGCGGGAAACUUGCCUCAAGAUGAGAUCUCACUGGGAACUUGAUUCCCCUGAAGGGCCGUCGAAGACUACGACGUUGAUAGGCUGGGUGUGUAAGCGUUGUGAGGCGUUGAGCUAACCAGUACUAAUUGCCCGUGAGGCUUGACCAU
rnacentral:rRNA from 1 species